rnacentral:rRNA from 1 species
UACGUAGGGGGCAAGCGUUGUCCGGAAUCAUUGGGCGUAAAGCGCGUGUAGGCGGCCAGAAAAGUCCGCUGUGAAAACUCGAGGCUCAACUUCGAGCUGUCGGUGGAAACUUUCUGGCUAGAGUCCGGAAGAGGAGAAUGGAAUUCCUGGUGUAGCGGUGAAAUGCGCAGAUAUCAGGAAGAACACCCGUGGCGAAGGCGAGUCUCUGGACGACACCUGACACUGAGGCACGAAAGCCAGGGGAGCAAACAGG